ensembl:misc_RNA Metazoa_SRP Metazoan signal recognition particle RNA
GUCAGGCAUGGUGGUGCGUGCCUGUAGUCCCAGCUACUUGGGGGGCUGAGGCAGGAGGAUCGCUUGAGCCCAGGAGGUUGAGGCUGCAGUGAGCCAGGUUUGCAUUACUGCACUCUAGCCUGGGUAACAAAGCAAGACCCUGUCUCAA